rnacentral:misc_RNA from 1 species
CGGAGGAUCUUCCUCUUGUUGAUGGUCUACUCUUCUUGGUAUAUCAAGUGAAUAGUCUUAAGGGCCUAUUUGACAUUAUUAUUAUAAUUGUUGUUAAGAAAAACAUCAUUUUGAAUAUGUUAACUAAAGGCAAUUAAAUUUUGUUUUUAAUAUAGAAUUGAUAUUUUCUAUACUUCUAGUCAUAAAAAUUUCAAAACAACUAAACAACAACUUCAUACUGUUUUGUUCUUAUUAAUGAAUAUGAAUAAUUUUCAACUUGCAACUCGUAUUGCAUGAAUGUGAAUAAUUUUCUGUUUUCUUCUUAUUGAUGGAACUAUUCUUAUUAGUAAAAAGUACUGUUUUCAGAAGCCUCUAUUUGAAAAAGUUAAUUUUAUUUUGAAUUUUUUUUUCUUUAUGUGGUUAGUCCUUUAUUGUCAAGUAUAAUGAUCAGCACUCAUCAUAAGAACCCUGUCACUAAUACAUGAUGCUUGUGUUUGAGCAAUUCAUUAUGAGGGCACACUUGCUGAAAAUGGUGAAGUUUUUGAUACUACACAUGACGAUAAUACUGUGUUCUCGUUUGAACUUGGAAAGGGUUCGGUAAUCCAAGUUUGGGGCAGAGAACCAUGAAGGUUGGGGAGGUUGCAAAAAUUACUUGCAAGCCAGAAUAUGCCUAUGGCGGUGCUGGGUCCCCACCAGAUAUCCCACCUGAUGCAACCCUUAUUUUUGAGGUGGAAUUAGUGGCUUGCAAGCCCCUUAAAGGCUCUAGUAUGAGUAGUGU